rnacentral:rRNA from 1 species
UACAUGGGGUGCAAACGUUGCUCGGAAUUAUUGGGCGUAAAGCGCACGUAGGCGGUUCGUUAAGUCGGAUGUGAAAGCCCCCGGCUCAACUGAGGAAGUGCACCCGAAACUGGCGAGCUUGAGUACGAAAGAGGAUCGCGGAGUUCCCGGUGUAGAGGUGAAAUGCGUAGAUAUCUGGAGGAACACCGGUGGCGAAGGCGGCAUCCUGGACCGAUAUUGACGCUGAUGCGCGAAAGCCAGGGGAGCAAACGGG